UACAGAGGGUGCGAGCGUUGUUCGGAAUUAUUGGGCGUAAAGGGCGCGUAGGCGGUGCGGUAAGUCACCUGUGAAAUCUCCUGGCUCAACUGGGAGCUUGCAGGCGAAACUGCCGUGCUGGAGUGUGGGAGAGGUGCGUGGAAUUCCUGGUGUAGCGGUGAAAUGCGUAGAUAUCAGGAGGAACACCUGUGGCGAAAGCGGCGCACUGGACCACAACUGACGCUGAGGCGCGAAAGCGUGGGGGAGCGAACAGG
rnacentral:rRNA from 1 species